rnacentral:rRNA from 1 species
UACAAUAGGCGUAAACAGAGGGAAGCGAGCCUGCGAGGGGGAGGCGAAUCCCAAAAAUAAACGUCCCAGUUCGGAUUGUAGUCUGCAACCCGACUACAUGAAGCUGGAAUCGCUAGUAAUCGCGGAUCAGAAUGCCGCGGUGAAUACGUUCCCGGGUCUUGUACACACCGCCCGUCACACCACGGAAGUUGGGGGCGCCCGAAGCCACUUAGCUAACCCUUUUGGGAAGCGAGUGUCGAAGGUGAAAUCAAUAACUGGGGUGAAGUCGUAACAAGGUAAC